UACGGAGGGUGCGAGCGUUAUCCGGAAUUACUGGGUUUAAAGGGUGCGUAGGCGGCUUUGUAAGUCAGGAGUGAAAGUUUGCGGCUCAACCGUAAAAUUGCUUCUGAUACUGCAUGGCUAGAAUUAGGAUGAGGUCAGCGGAAUGUGGCAUGUAGCGGUGAAAUGCAUAGAUACGCCAUAGAACACCAAUUGCGAAGGCAGCUGGCUAGACCUGGAUUGACGCUGAGGCACGAAAGCGUGGGGAGCGAACAGG
rnacentral:misc_RNA from 1 species